rnacentral:rRNA from 1 species
UGGGGAAUUUUGGACAAUGGGCGAAAGCCUGAUCCAGCAAUGCCGCGUGUGUGAAGAAGGCCUUCGGGUUGUAAAGCACUUUUGUCCGGAAAGAAAUCCUUGGCUCUAAUACAGUCGGGGGAUGACGGUACCGGAAGAAUAAGCACCGGCUAACUACGUGCCAGCAGCCGCGGUAAUACGUAGGGUGCAAGCGUUAAUCGGAAUUACUGGGCGUAAAGCGUGCGCAGGCGGUUUGCUAAGACCGAUGUGAAAUCCCCGGGCUCAACCUGGGAACUGCAUUGGUGACUGGCAGGCUAGAGUAUGGCAGAGGGGGGUAGAAUUCCACGUGUAGCAGUGAAAUGCGUAGAGAUGUGGAGGAAUACCGAUGGCGAAGGCACGCCCCUGGGCCAAUACUGACGCUCAUGCACGAAAGCGUGGGGAGCAAACAGGAUUAGAUACCCUGGUAGUCCACGCCCUAAACGAUGUCAACUAGUUGUUGGGGAUUCAUUUCCUUAGUAACGUAGCUAACGCGUGAAGUUGACCGCCUGGGGAGUACGGUCGCAAGAUUAAAACUUAAAGGAA